rnacentral:tRNA from 1 species
GGUGGCUCAGUGGCAGAGCACUUGCCUUGCAUGCAGGAGGCCCUGGGUUCAAUUCCUCAGCACCA